UACGUAGGGGGCUAGCGUUGUCCGGAAUCAUUGGGCGUAAAGCGCGUGUAGGCGGCCCGGUAAGUCCGCUGUGAAAGUCGGGGGCUCAACCCUCGAAAGCCGGUGGAUACUGUCGGGCUAGAGUACGGAAGAGGCGAGUGGAAUUCCUGGUGUAGCGGUGAAAUGCGCAGAUAUCGGGAGGAACACCAGUAGCGAAGGCGGCUCGCUGGGCCAUUCCGUGACGCUGAGACGCGAAAGCUAGGGGAGCGAACGAG
rnacentral:rRNA from 1 species